rnacentral:lncRNA from 1 species
AAAACUAAAACCACUUCUUUUAAAUUAAAAAGCCAUUUAUUGAACAAGGUACCAAAAAAAAAAACCAUUUAUUGAACCUAUUCUUCAAGAGUUAUGCAGCCUUCAUUGCUCGUCUUCCACCCAUUAAUUCACAGACUAAAAAGUCAUAACAAAUCAACACCAAAGAACUAGGGAAGAAAAGGCAAGAAAAUAGGAACAAGAGCUGGACGAUGAGAGCUAUAACAAACAAUAUGUAUCUUACAAACAGCUUCCACUUAACGGUAAAAAAUCCAUAUCUGUUAAUUAAAGAUUGAGUUCAUAGAAGAUGGAAAAGAAAGAUAAAGAGAGAGAAAAGAGUGGAAAAGUAAGAGAAAAGUG